rnacentral:tRNA from 1 species
GGACUGUGGCUCAGAGGGAAAGUGCUUGCCUCACAUGCGUGAGGCUCUGGGUUCGGUCCUCAGCAUCA